rnacentral:pre_miRNA from 14 species
UUCCCGAAGAGAAGAUCGCUCUGUCAGCGUGAGGUAGUAGAUUGUAUAGUUGUGGGUAGUGAUUGUACCCUGUUCAGGAGAUAACUAUACAAUCUAGUGCCUUCCCUGAGGAGUAGACUGGCUGCAUUCUGUCUUUAUCUAGGU